CCUCUGCUAAGGGUGUCUGUUUU
rnacentral:piRNA from 1 species